AAAUUGAAGAGUUUGAUCAUGGCUCAGAUUGAACGCUGGCGGCAGGCCUAACACAUGCAAGUCGAACGGUAACAGGAAACAGCUUGCUGUUUCGCUGACGAGUGGCGGACGGGUGAGUAAUGUCUGGGAAACUGCCUGAUGGAGGGGGAUAACUACUGGAAACGGUAGCUAAUACCGCAUAACGUCGCAAGACCAAAG
rnacentral:rRNA from 1 species